AGAGAUCAGCGGUUACACUACA
rnacentral:miRNA from 1 species